rnacentral:rRNA from 1 species
CGUGAGGAACCUGCCUUUCAGAGGGGGACAACAGCUGGAAACGGCUGCUAAUACCGCAUAACACAUAGGUGUCGCAUGGCAUUUAUGUCAAAGAUUUAUCGCUGAGAGAUGGCCUCGCGUCUGAUUAGCUAGUUGGUAGGGUAGCGGCCUACCAAGGCGACGAUCAGUAGCCGGACUGAGAGGUUGGCCGGCCACAUUGGGACUGAGAUACGGCCCAGACUCCUACGGGAGGCAGCAG